rnacentral:lncRNA from 1 species
AUGAGAAGGGCCACUGCCCACCAGGUGGCGGUGACGGAGAGGCGCUCCCUGCAAGGCUCCUUGCUGCCGUCACCUGUGCUGGCAACCUGUUCUGCACUGGCUCAUGUCAGGCGAACAGCUGGGGCAGGGCAGAGAACAGACGGAACAGCUGUGCUGUGCCGGGCCAGGUGCGUGCAGGGCUCAGGGAAGCCUGGUGCGUGCAGGGCUCAGGGAAGCCUGGUGCGUGCAGGGCUCAGGGAAGCCUGGUGCGUGCAGGGCUCAGGGAAGCCUGGUGCGUGCAGGGCUCAGGGAAGCCUGGUGCGUGCAGGGCUCAGGGAAGCCUGGUGCGUGCAGGGCUCAGGGAAGCCUGGUGCGUGCAGGGCUCAGGGAAGCCUGGUGCGUGCAGGGCUCAGGGAAGCCUGGUGCGUGCAGGGCUCAGGGAAGCCUGGUGCGUGCAGGGCUCAGGGAAGCCUGGUGCCUCCAGGGCUCAGGGAAGCCUGGUGCGUGCAGGGCUCAGGGAAGCCUGGUGCGUGCAGGGCUCAGGGAAGCCUGGUGCGUGCAGGGCUCAGGGAAGCCUGGUGCGUGCAGGUCCCCUGCUGCUGUGAUGACGAGAGUGAGCUUACGCUUCCGGGAGCCCCCUUCACAGGUGUGAUUGUCUCGUGCCCUGGUCUUCUGUGCGUGCAGACGGGACAGUGUAAAUGCUCGGGCUGUGGGGCCGCUGUCUGUCCUGGUGGGGUCAGGUGGGCUCGGGCUGCGGGGCCGCUGUCUGUCCUGGUGGGGUCAGGUGGGCUCGGGCUGCAGGGCCACUGUCUGUCCUGGUGGGGUCAGGUGGGCUCGGGCUGUGGGGCCGCUGUCUGUCCUGGUGGGGUCAGGUGGGCUCGGGCUGCAGGGCCACUGUCUGUGCUGGUGGGGUCAGGUGGGCUCAGGCUGCGGGGCUGCUGUCUGUCCUGGUGGGGUCAGGUGGGCUCGGGCUGUGGGGCCGCUGUCUGUCCUGGUGGGGUCAGGUGGGCUCGGGCUGCGGGGCCGCUGUCUGUCCUGGUGGGGUCAGGUGAGCUUGGGCUGAGGGCCACUGUCUGUCCUGGUGGGGUCACGUGGGCUUGGAGCUGUGGGGCCACUGUCUGUGCUGGUGGGGUCAGGUGGGCUCGGGGCUGCGGGGCUGCUGUCUGUCCUGGUGGGGUCAGGUGGGCUCGGGCUGCAGGGCCGCUGUCUGUCCUGGUGGGGUCACGUGGAGUCACGUGGGCUCGGGCUGCGGGGCCACUGUCUGUCCUGGUGGGGUCAGGUGGGCUCGGGCUGCGGGGCCACUGUCUGUCCUGGUGGGGUCAGGUGGGUCGUGGUCACCCAGGAGCUGUGAGCCUGCUCAGCUUGCCAGGGCUGGGACUGAGCCAGGGCCCCCAGGUUCCCCUCCAGGGUCACAAGAAGCCUUUGGCCGUGGCUGCUGAUGUGGUGUGA